AUAUAACCGUAAACAAAAUGUGUUGAGUGCGUCGUUAGAUAAAACAUUUCCUUCCUUCCUCUUAUUAUAAAAUGUUGUUUUGUUUUUUAAAAAUAAAUUUAAUUAACACCUGAAACUAAUAUGAUCUAGUGUCAGAGAUGGGGACCUGUAUUACUACCUUAGUCAUCUUAUAGGCAAAUGAUUGUACCUAGCAACGUCAUUGACAUUUAUACAAGAUUAUUACAACAGUAAUAACAAACAUGAAAAUAUGAAGGAAAAAACCCCUUUAUGAUAUAUGAGGUUAACAGUGAAAAUGGAAGUAAACAGAAAACGUUAAAGAAUAGAAGAACAGAAGAUGGAAAGAAAGAGAGGAAGGAAAGAGAGAUAGAAAGAAUGAAUAUGCUGAUGUGAAAAUGCUAAUUAAUUAUUUUGUUUUGUACAAUCAUAAAUCAAUGUGGAGGCCUAAAACAGUAACUUGCUUCUUAAAGUUAACUCUGAGAAGACACUGAUGUCAUUUCUAAAAAUAGCUAUUGACUCAACACAAAUAUCUCAUUUUAACAGCUCCAGGAAAUAGGGACUUAUGCAUAAUACACUUCAGCUUCCAAUUUAUGCAAGACAACACAAAAUGACUCACCUCACAGUACUUUGGCGGUUUGUCGUCCACCGGUAGACCGAAACCCAGCAAGGAAGAUGUAAAGUUUCUUCUUUCACAAAGGCACUCAGUGGUUUCAAACAUGCCCAGCGUCACGUCCAGUGAAAGACUUUGGCCACUUCGAGAUGUUUUUUGAGCUAUCUGUAAUGUCAGUGGUUUCCCUAGACAACUGAAAAAUAAAAUUAUAUAAAAUUUCAUAUUUUAUUUGAAGUUCUUAGUACUUCUGAUGACUGUUAAUUUAAAGAUAUGUAUUGUGUGGAAUAUUAAUGAUGUGAUAAUUAUGUACAUUUUAAAACUACAGUGGACUCUGUCCAAACCAGCAUCUGUCUAAAGCGGCACAGUUUUAAAGUCCCGUUUAGCUACUGUUAAUUUAUUAGGAAUAAUACUCUGUCUGCACCGGAUGCGGUGUAUUCCAGACUUCAUAUGCAAAUUCAAGAACAAAAGAACUGUUUAUGUAGUAGUUAACUCUGUCUACACUGGUACACUAUCUUACCUCUACCAGCCAGUGGUCACCUUUUAAACAAUGAUGGCAGUUCCCAAGUAAUUAGGACAACAAAGUGUUAUGAAAUAAUUGCGCCUCUUUGAAGGCUUAAUAAACAAUGAACCACACCUGUAGUAAUGGGUGUAGGUAGGAAGAUAAAUUGGAGUAUUAUUUGUAUGUGUUCAUACCUGCACUGCAUUAAAACAAUAAAACUCAGACCCCUGUUUCAUGUGAUUUUAAUCAAUAAAAUAAUGUUAUUUA